rnacentral:ncRNA from 1 species
CAAAGGCUUGGUCCUGACUUUAUUGUCAACUAUAGCUAAACUUACACAUGCAAGUAUCCGCACCCCCGUGAGAAUGCCCCACAGCUCCCUACCCGGGAGCAAGGAGCCGGUAUCAGGCACCUUCUUUCCCAAAACAAGCAGCCCACGACACCUUGCUCAGCCACACCCCCAAGGGAUUUCAGCAGUGAUAAACAUUAAGCCAUAAGCGAAAGCUUGACUUAGUUAAAGCUUAUAGGGCCGGUAAAACUCGUGCCAGCCACCGCGGUUAUACGAGAGACCCAAGUUGACAAUUACCGGCGUAAAGCGUGGUUAAUAAUUCUUCCCCCACUAAAGCCGAACAUCUACAAAGUUGUACAACACAUUCGAAGAUAAGAAGACCACCUACGAAAGUAGCUUUACAGUCUUGAAGCCACGGAAGCUAGGAAACAAACUGGGAUUAGAUACCCCACUAUGCCUAGCCCUAAACUUAGAUAGAAAUCCACCUAGUCUAUUCGCCCGGGAACUACGAGCACCAGCUUGAAACCCAAAGGACUUGGCGGCGCUUCAUACCCACCUAGAGGAGCCUGUUCUUGAACCGAUAACCCCCGUUUAACCUCACCUUCUCUUGUUCUCCCCGCCUAUAUACCGCCGUCGUCAGCCCACCCUGUGAAGGCCCAGUAGUGGGCAAAACUGGCACAGCCCAAAACGUCAGGCCGAGGUGUAGCGUAUGAGAAGGGAAGAAAUGGGCUACAAUUGCUUAAACAGCUAAAACGAAUUGCAAACGCUGAAAAUGCACACAUGAAGGAGGAUUUAGAAGUAAGGGGCAAGCAGAGUGUCCCCCUGAAGUGGCCCUGAAGCGUGCACACACCGCCCGUCACUCUCCCCAAGUUAGAAACAUACUUAGUAACUAAACAAUUUUACCUACGAAGAGGAGACAAGUCGUAACAUGGUAAGUGUACCGGAAGGUGUACUUGGAAAAA